rnacentral:rRNA from 1 species
UACGGGGGGAGCAAGCGUUGUUCGGAUUUACUGGGCGUAAAGGGCGCGUAGGCGGUCAGCACAAGUCAGUUGUGAAAUCUCCGGGCUUAACUCGGAAAGGUCAACUGAUACUGUGCGACUAGAGUGCGGAAGGGGCAACUGGAAUUCUCGGUGUAGCGGUGAAAUGCGUAGAUAUCGAGAGGAACACCUGCGGCGAAGGCGGGUUGCUGGGCCGACACUGACGCUGAUGCGCGAAGGCCAGGGAGCAAACGGG